rnacentral:rRNA from 1 species
CCUACGGGAGGCUGCAGUGAGGAAUAUUGGUCAAUGGACGAGAGUCUGAACCAGCCAAGUAGCGUGAAGGAUGACUGCCCUAUGGGUUGUAAACUUCGUUUAUAUGGGAAUAAAAUGUGGCACGUGUGGGAUUUUGUAUGUACCAUAUGAAUAAGGAUCGGCUAACUCCGUGCCAGCAGCCGCGGUAAUACGGAGGAUCCGAGCGUUAUCCGGAUUUAUUGGGUUUAAAGGGAGCGUAGGUGGUUUGUUAAGUCAGUUGGGACAGUUUGCGGCUCAACCGUAAAAUUGCAGUUGCAACUGGCAGUCUUUCGUACAGUAGCGGUUGGCGGAAUUCUUGUUGUAGCGG